rnacentral:rRNA from 1 species
UACGAAGGGGGCUAGCGUUGCUCGGAAUCACUGGGCGUAAAGGGCGCGUAGGCGGCCAUUCAAGUCGGGGGUGAAAGCCCAGGGCCCAACCCGUGGAAUUGCCUUCGAUACUGUUGGCUCGAGACCGGAAGAGGUAAGUGGAACUGCGAGUGUAGAGGUGAAAUUCGUAGAUAUUCGCAAGAACACCAGUGGCGAAGGCGGCCCCCCUGGGUUGGAUACUGACGCUGAGACGCGAAAGCGUGGGGAGCAA